GAGCUCCUGGUCUAGUGGUAUGAUUCUCGUAUGUAUUAAAAACUCUGCAGACCGCUCCGCUCGCUCCACCACAGGCUUAGGGUUACACCUAAGCAAUCUUGCGAGAGGUCCCGGGUUCAAUCGCCGGGUGGCCCC